rnacentral:rRNA from 1 species
UACGUAGGGUGCAAGCGUUAAUCGGAAUUACUGGGCGUAAAGCGUGCGCAGGCGGCUUUGCAAGACAGAUGUGAAAUCCCCGGGCUCAACCUGGGAACUGCAUUUGUGACUGCAAGGCUAGAGUACGGCAGAGGGGGAUGGAAUCCCGCGUGUAGCAGUGAAAUGCGUAGAUAUGCGGAGGAACACCAAUGGCGAAGGCAAUCCCCUGGGCCUGUACUGACGCUCAUGCACGAAAGCAUGGGGAGCAAACAGG